rnacentral:lncRNA from 1 species
AGCUACAAAAAGAUGGACUUCAAGCAACCAAGUUCUUAUGGAAGUUGCUUGCACAAGGACAUCAACGCAGCUGCUUCACGCUAGGCAAGCUUACCAUGCUCGCUACAAGAAGUCUCUUGAAGAGGACGUUGCUCACCACACUACCGGUGACUUCAGAAAGCUUUUGGUUUCUCUUGUUACCUCAUACAGGUACGAAGGAGAUGAAGUGAACAUGACAUUGGCUAAGCAAGAAGCUAAGCUGGUCCAUGAGAAAAUCAAGGACAAGCACUACAAUGAUGAGGAUGUUAUUAGAAUCUUGUCCACAAGAAGCAAAGCUCAGAUCAAUGCUACUUUUAACCGUUACCAAGAUGAUCAUGGCGAGGAAAUUCUCAAGAGUCUUGAGGAAGGAGAUGAUGAUGACAAGUUCCUUGCACUUUUGAGGUCAACCAUUCAGUGCUUGACAAGACCAGAGCUUUACUUUGUCGAUGUUCUUCGUUCAGCAAUCAACAAAACUGGAACUGAUGAAGGAGCACUCACUAGAAUUGUGACCACAAGAGCUGAGAUUGACUUGAAGGUCAUUGGAGAGGAGUACCAGC